UCAGGACAGUCACAGUGUUGACAAUGAAGCAGCCGCUUACCCUGAAGUAGAUGAUGACAAUGGCAGCAGGGUUUGCGCUACCCCAGUUGAGGAAAAAGCACCACCAAGUACCAGUUAUCCUGAAAGUCAGCCAGCCAGUGAGGUUGGGAGCCUCAAGAAACCUGGCAGUGUGCCCCCAAGUAAAGCAGUAGGUGAAAUCAGAACAAGAGUGGGCCGAAUGGUGAAGCCUGUGAAUAGGCUGAUCCAAACCAUGACACAAAGGAAUCUACAAACAGGCAAUGUGGUCAGCAGCUUUGCCAAGAAUCUAUUUCUGUGAGGACUACUUGUUCCAUAUAUUAGGUGAUCUUCAUGUUGGAUGUUAACAUUUAUUUUGAGAUUGUUUCAAGCUCAGGGUAAUAUUCAUUACAUAGUAGCUGUCAUUGUAUUGUUUGUUCAAGAUAGUGUAUAAGGCACUUUCUCUAGCGAGUAAACAUUAGGGGGUCUGGCCAGCUUUCUUUUGUUUACUCUCCCCAUGAGUUGGGAAACACAUUUGUUGCAUGUAUCAGUAAAUUUGCAGAUCUCUGACAGUUACGAAUUGUUAUUUGCUAUGCUCAGUUGUUCACCCUUACCUAACGCGUUUUGAGAAGUUCAGGGGGAAGUAUGUAGCUGAGAUAUAAUAUACUGAGUGUGAACAUUCUCAAAACUGUAUUGUAUGUAUUUUAUUUUUUUAUUGUGUAAAUUCAAUUUUUGUAAAACUGAGGUUCCACAUGUCACUGUUGAAGUAGGGCAUUAAUCAGUGUGACACCACUUGUAAACAUGCUGCAUGUGUGGGGUUUCUCAGCCAGAGCUGCAUGGACUCCACACUGGGAUGAGCAGAGGCGUGCUGUUGCUGUGUGACACUGAUUUUGCUGCUCCACUUUGUGUUUUAGAAAUAAAUCCAGUUUCCAGC